AAAUUGAAGAGUUUGAUCAUGGCUCAGAUUGAACGCUGGCGGCAGGCCUAACACAUGCAAGUCGAACGGUAACAGGAAGCAGCUUGCUGCUUUGCUGACGAGUGGCGGACGGGUGAGUAAUGUCUGGGAAACUGCCUGAUGGAGGGGGAUAACUACUGGAAACGGUGGCUAAUACCGCAUAACGUCGCAAGACCAAAGAGGGGGACCUUCGGGCCUCUUGCCAUCAGAUGUGCCCAGAUGGGAUUAGCUUGUUGGUGAGGUAACGGCUCACCAAGGCGACGAUCCCUAGCUGGUCUGAGAGGAUGACCAGCCACACUGGAACUGAGACACGGUCCAGACUCCUACGGGAGGCAGCAGUGGGGAAUAUUGCACAAUGGGCGCAAGCCUGAUGCAGCCAUGCCGCGUGUAUGAAGAAGGCCUUCGGGUUGUAAAGUACUUUCAGCGGGGAGGAAGGUGUUGUGGUUAAUAACCGCAGCAAUUGACGUUACCCGCAGAAGAAGCACCGGCUAACUCCGUGCCAGCAGCCGCGGUAAUACGGAGGGUGCAAGCGUUAAUCGGAAUUACUGGGCGUAAAGCGCACGCAGGCGGUCUGUCAAGUCGGAUGUGAAAUCCCCGGGCUCAACCUGGGAACUGCAUUCGAAACUGGCAGGCUUGAGUCUUGUAGAGGGGGGUAGAAUUCCAGGUGUAGCGGUGAAAUGCGUAGAGAUCUGGAGGAAUACCGGUGGCGAAGGCGGCCCCCUGGACAAAGACUGACGCUCAGGUGCGAAAGCGUGGGGAGCAAACAGGAUUAGAUACCCUGGUAGUCCACGCCGUAAACGAUGUCUACUUGGAGGUUGUGCCCUUGAGGCGUGGCUUCCGGAGCUAACGCGUUAAGUAGACCGCCUGGGGAGUACGGCCGCAAGGUUAAAACUCAAAUGAAUUGACGGGGGCCCGCACAAGCGGUGGAGCAUGUGGUUUAAUUCGAUGCAACGCGAAGAACCUUACCUGGUCUUGACAUCCACGGAAGUUUUCAGAGAUGAGAAUGUGCCUUCGGGAACCGUGAGACAGGUGCUGCAUGGCUGUCGUCAGCUCGUGUUGUGAAAUGUUGGGUUAAGUCCCGCAACGAGCGCAACCCUUAUCCUUUGUUGCCAGCGAUUAGGUCGGGAACUCAAAGGAGACUGCCAGUGAUAAACUGGAGGAAGGUAGGGAUGACGUCAAGUCAUCAUGGCCCUUACGACCAGGGCUACACACGUGCUACAAUGGCGCAUACAAAGAGAAGCGACCUCGCGAGAGCAAGCGGACCUCAUAAAGUGCGUCGUAGUCCGGAUUGGAGUCUGCAACUCGACUCCAUGAAGUUGGAAUCGCUAGUAAUCGUGGAUCAGAAUGCCACGGUGAAUACGUUCCCGGGCCUUGUACACACCGCCCGUCACACCAUGGGAGUGGGUUGCAAAAGAAGUAGGUAGCUUAACCUUCGGGAGGGCGCUUACCACUUUGUGAUUCAUGACUGGGGUGAAGUCGUAACAAGGUAACCGUAGGGGAACCUGCGGUUGGAUCACCUCCUUA
rnacentral:rRNA from 1 species